rnacentral:rRNA from 1 species
GAUGAACGCUGACAGAAUGCUUAACACAUGCAAGUCUACUUGAAUUUGGGUUUUUAACUUAGAUUUGGGUGGCGGACGGGUGAGUAACGCGUAAAGAACUUGCCUCACAGCUAGGGACAACAUUUAGAAAUGAAUGCUAAUACCUAAUAUUAUGAUAAUAGGGCAUCCUAUAAUUAUGAAAGCUAUAUGCGCUGUGAGAGAGCUUUGCGUCCCAUUAGCUAGUUGGAGAGGUAACGGCUCACCAAGGCGAUGAUGGGUAGCCGGCCUGAGAGGGUGAUCGGCCACAAGGGGACUGAGACACGGCCCUUACUCCUACGGGAGGCAGCAGUGGGGAAUAUUGGACAAUGGACCGAGAGUCUGAUCCAGCAAUUCUGUGUGCACGAUGAAGUUUUUCGGAAUGUAAAGUGCUUUCAGUUGGGAAGAAAGAAAUGACGGUACCAACAGAAGAAGUGACGGCUAAAUACGUGCCAGCAGCCGCGGUAAUACGUAUGUCACGAGCGUUAUCCGGAUUUAUUGGGCGUAAAGCGCGUCUAGGUGGUUAUAUAAGUCUGAUGUGAAAAUGCAGGGCUCAACUCUGUACUGCGUUGGAAACUGUAUAACUAGAGUACUGGAGAGGUAAGCGGAACUAUAAGUGUAGAGGUGAAAUUCGUAGAUAUUUGUAGGAAUGCCGAUGGGGAAGCCAGCUUACUGGACAGAUACUGACGCUGAAGCGCGAAAGCGUGGGUAGCAAACAGG